rnacentral:rRNA from 1 species
CCUACGGGGUGCAGCAGUGGGGAAUAUUGGGCAAUGGGCGCAAGCCUGACCCAGCAACGCCGCGUGAAGGAAGAAGGCUUUCGGGUUGUAAACUUCUUUUGUCAGGGAAGAGUAGAAGACGGUACCUGACGAAUAAGCCACGACUAACUACGUGCCAGCAGCCGCGGUAAUACGUAGGUGGCAAGCGUUGUCCGGAUUUACUGGGUGUAAAGGGCGUGUAGCCGGGUUGACAAGUCAGAUGUUAAAUCCUGCGGCUUAACCGCAGAACUGCAUUUGAAACUGUUGAUCUUGAGUACUGGAGAGGCAGACGGAAUUCCUAGUGUAGCGGUGAAAUGCGUAGAUAUUAGGAGGAACACCAGUGGCGAAGGCGGUCUGCUGGACAGCAACUGACGGUGAGGCGCGAAAGCGUGGGGAGCAAACAGGAUUAGAUACCCGAGUAGUC